rnacentral:rRNA from 1 species
GCAGCAGGCACGCAAAUUACCCACUCCCGGCACGGAGAGGUAGUGACAAAAAAUAACGAUACGGGACUCUUUUGAGGCCCCGUAAUCGGAAUGAGUACACUUUAAAUCCUUUAACAAGGAUCGAUUGGAGGGCAAGUCUGGUGCCAGCAGCCGCGGUAAUUCCAGCUCCAAUAGCGUAUAUUAAAGUUGUUGCAGUUAAAAAGCUCGUAGUUGGUUUUGCGUGCCACGCUGUCGGUUCGCCGCCUGACGGUGAAACUGGCAUGUCGUGGUACGUCCUGCCGGUGGUAAAUGGUUGCCUUUGGUGUAAGACAAAAACUUUAUAGUUUUUUGUUGCCGCCUUUGUGUAAUUGUUUACCGAUAUCCUACCCGGUGCUCUUAAACGAGUGUCGAGGUAGGCCGGCAAAUUUACUUUGAACAAAUUAGAGUGCUUCAAGCAGGCUAAAAAUAUUGCCUAAAUAGUGGUGCAUGGAAUAAUGGAAUAGGACCUCGGUUCUAUUUUGUUGGUUUUCAGAACACAAGGUAAUGAUCAAUGUAGACAAGCGGGGGCAUUCGUAUUGCGGCGUUAGAGGUGAAAUUCUUGGAUCGUCGCAAGACGCACAAGAGCGAAAGCAAUUGCCAAGUAUGUCUUAAUUGAUCAAGAACGAAAGUUAGAGGUUCGAAGGCGAUCAGAUACCGCCCUAGUUCUAACCAUAAACGAUGCCAGCCAGCGAUCCGACGUGUUCAUAUUAUGACACGUGCGGGCAGCUUUUUCCCGGGAAACCAAAGCUGUUGGGUUCCGGGGGAAGUAUGGUUGCAAAGCUGAAACUUAAAGGAAUUGACGGAAGGGCACCACCAGGAGUGGAGCCUGCGGCUUAAUUUGACUCAACACGGGAAACCUCACCGGGUCAGGACAUUGUAAGGAUUGACAGAUUGAUAGCUCUUUCUUGAUUCAGUGGGUAGUGGUGCAUGGCCGUUC